AUCUACGGCCAUUCCACCCUGAACGCGCCUGAUCUUGUCUGAUCUCGGAAGCUAAGCAGAGUCGGGCCUGGUUAGUACUUGGAUGGGAGAAUUACACCUCAAGACUUCAGUUUUUGUGUUUU
rnacentral:rRNA from 1 species